UACGUAGGGUGCAAGCGUUGUCCGGAAUUAUUGGGCGUAAAGAGCUCGUAGGCUGUUUGUCGCGUCUGCUGUGAAAACUCGGGGCUUAACCCCGGGCCUGCAGUGGGUACGGGCAGACUAGAGUGCGGUAGGGGAGACUGGAAUUCCUGGUGUAGCGGUGAAAUGCGCAGAUAUCAGGAGGAACACCGGUGGCGAAGGCGGGUCUCUGGGCCGUAACUGACGCUGAGGAGCGAAAGCGUGGGGAGCGAACAGG
rnacentral:rRNA from 1 species